CACGUAGGGCGCAAGCGUUGUCCGGAAUUAUUGGGCGUAAAGAGCUCGUAGGCGGCUUGUCGCGUCGGCUGUGAAAACCUAGGGCUCAACCUGGGCCUGCAGCCGAUACGGGCAAGCUAGAAUUCGGUAGGGGAGACUGGAAUUCCUGGUGUAGCGGUGAAAUGCGCAGAUAUCAGGAGGAACACCGGUGGCGAAGGCGGGUCUCUGGGCCGAUAUUGACGCUGAGGAGCGAAAGCGUGGGGAGCGAACAGG
rnacentral:rRNA from 1 species